UGAGCGGCGGACGGGUGAGUAACACGUAAGGAACCUGCCUCAAGGAUUGGGAUAACUCCGAGAAAUCGGAGCUAAUACCGGAUAGUUCAACGGACCGCAUGGUCCGCUGAUGAAAGGCGCUCCGGCGUCACCUUGAGAUGGCCUUGCGGUGCAUUAGCUAGUUGGUGGGGUAACGGCCCACCAAGGCGACGAUGCAUAGCCGACCUGAGAGGGUGAUCGGCCACACUGGGACUGAGACACGGCCCAGACUCCUACGGGAGGCAGCAGUAGGGAAUCUUCCACAAUGGACGAAAGUCUGAUGGAGCAACGCCGCGUGAGUGAUGAAGGUUUUCGGAUCGUAAAACUCUGUUGUAAGGGAAGAACACGUACGAGAGGAAAUGCUCGUACCUUGACGGUACCUUACGAGAAAGCCACGGCUAACUACGUGCCAGCAGCCGCGGUAAUACGUAGGUGGCAAGCGUUGUCCGGAAUUAUUGGGCGUAAAGCGCGCGCA
rnacentral:rRNA from 1 species